rnacentral:rRNA from 1 species
CUUUGAUUCUGGCUCAGGAUGAACGCUGGCGGCGUGCCUAAUACAUGCAAGUCGAACGAAACUUCUUUAUCACCGAGUGCUUGCACUCACCGAUAAAGAGUUGAGUGGCGAACGGGUGAGUAACACGUGGGCAACCUGCCCGAAAGAGGGGGAUAACACUUGGAAACAGGUGCUAAUACCGCAUAACCAUGAAUACCGCAUGGUAUUUAUGUGAAAGGUGGUUUCGGCUACCGCUUUCGGAUGGGCCCGCGGCGCAUUAGCUAGUUGGUGGGGUAAAGGCUUACCAAGGCAAUGAUGCGUAGCCGAACUGAGAGGUUGAUCGGCCACAUUGGGACUGAGACACGGCCCAAACUCCUACGGGAGGCAGCAGUAGGGAAUCUUCCACAAUGGGCGAAAGCCUGAUGGAGCAACGCCGCGUGGGUGAAGAAGGUCUUCGGAUCGUAAAACCCUGUUGUCUGAGAAGAAAGUGCAUGAGAGUAACUGUUCAUGUUUCGACGGUAUCUGACCAGAAAGCCACGGCUAACUACGUGCCAGCAGCCGCGGUAAUACGUAGGUGGCAAGCGUUAUCCGGAUUUAUUGGGCGUAAAGGGAACGCAGGCGGUCUUUCAAGUCUGAUGUGAAAGCCUUCGGCUUAACCGGAGUAGUGCAUUGGAAACUGGGAGACUUGAGUGCAGAAGAGGAGAGUGGAACUCCAUGUGUAGCGGUGAAAUGCGUAGAUAUAUGGAAGAACACCAGUGGCGAAAGCGGCUCUCUGGUCUGUAACUGACGCUGAGGUUCGAAAGCGUGGGUAGCAAACAGGAUUAGAUACCCUGGUAGUCCACGCCGUAAACGAUGAAUGCUAAGUGUUGGAGGGUUUCCGCCCUUCAGUGCUGCAGUUAACACAAUAAGCAUUCCGCCUGGGGAGUACGACCGCAAGGUUGCAACUGAAAUGAAUUGACGGA